AUUUAAUAUUAUAAUUUGUUAGACUUAUGUCUUUAUUGGUCAUGUAAGUGGGGCAAAGCAAAUAUCCUUUCAAAACUCAGGCAAACUGGUGUUUGUCUUGAAUCUUGUCAAAGGAAACAAAU
ensembl:snoRNA